GCCUGAGCGCCCCCGCGCGCCCCUUCCUCCUCCGGGGGGCCGGCGCCGGGCCGAUCCGAGAGCCAGAGAAGGGGGCGUGAGCCAGGGGCCCCGAGCCGCGGCUUCCGAGCCACUGCGGCCGUUUCGAGCCUCCCCUCCAAGUAGGCUGAGUUGAGGGACCCCCGCCCCCCAUCCAUCAUAAUCUCCAAACCAGGCGCUUGGGCAUUUUUGAGCCAUUAAUAUUUAUUAUUUUUUUUUGUGCGGCAGGGGAUAAUUUGAAGGCUUCUUUUUUUUUUUCCUGGGGGGUACUGAGCUUCCGCGCUCCCGACCGCCUCCCGGUCUCCUCCCCCCUUGAGAUACCCUCGACUCCAGCCCCGUUCCCCCUCCUCAGAUGGGUUCAUUGUGAGCUCCGCACCGGGCUGCGUGGCCGGACGCCUGCAAACUUUGCACAAAAAUCCGGCAAGGGGCGG
rnacentral:lncRNA from 1 species